UACGGAAUGUGCGAACGUUAUUCGGAAUCACUGGGCUUAAAGAGUCCGUAGGCGGCUUGUUAGGUGAGGUGUGAAAUCCCACGGCUCAACCGUGGAAUUGCGCUUCAAACCGGCGAGCUUGAGGAGGAUAGAGGUGGACGGAACUGAUGGUGGAGCGGUGAAAUGCGUUGAUAUCAUCAGGAACACCGGAGGCGAAAGCGGUCCACUGGGUCCUUUCUGACGCUGAGGGACGAAAGCUAGGGGAGCGAACGGG
rnacentral:rRNA from 1 species